UGGAGUUUUUCAGCCAGUAUCAUUUGCCCUAAACAAAAGGUAAGCAUAAAAUUAAUACAAUAGAAUUCACUUUCAGGGAGAUAGAGUAGGCAUACUUUUUCCAAUUCUUUUUCUAAGUACAACUAAAAACCCGAGGCAUUACAAAUACAAGAAGCAUAAGAAGACUUUGACAGCUGGCGAGAAGGAGGCAGGCUGGCUAGCGACCUGGAAACCCAAGGAAUGACUUAGUGCAGCUAAAUAAGCACUGGCCUUGAGAUAAACAAUGUUGAAGCAGUUGCAGCUUACAACCACCAGAUGCUGACCAACUGACUUUGUUCCAUAAGCCAUAACUACAGCUCUGAUUGGACAAGAGAUUGAUUUCAGUAACUUUCUCCUGAUAAGAAGACCACUGACCAAGGACUGGGUCUAGCCAGUUUACGUAGACUGCGUGCUUAAAAGUCCUUUGGUGUCCUG
rnacentral:lncRNA from 1 species